rnacentral:rRNA from 1 species
AACGAACGCUGGCGGCAGGCUUAACACAUGCAAGUCGAGCGCCCCGCAAGGGGAGCGGCAGACGGGUGAGUAACGCGUGGGAACGUACCCUUUGCUACGGAAUAGCUCCGGGAAACUGGAAUUAAUACCGUAUGUGCCCUACGGGGGAAAGAUUUAUCGGCAAAGGAUCGGCCCGCGUUGGAUUAGCUAGUUGGUGGGGUAAUGGCCUACCAAGGCGACGAUCCAUAGCUGGUCUGAGAGGAUGAUCAGCCACAUUGGGACUGAGACACGGCCCAAACUCCUACGGGAGGCAGCAGUGGGGAAUAUUGGACAAUGGGCGCAAGCCUGAUCCAGCCAUGCCGCGUGAGUGAUGAAGGCCUUAGGGUUGUAAAGCUCUUUCGCCGACGAAGAUAAUGACGGUAGUCGGAGAAGAAGCCCCGGCUAACUUCGUGCCAGCCGCCGCGGUAAAAC